rnacentral:rRNA from 1 species
UACGUAGGGUGCAAGCGUUAAUCGGAAUUACUGGGCGUAAAGCGUGCGCAGGCGGUUAUGUAAGACAGAUGUGAAAUGCCCGGGCUUAACCUGGGAACUGCAUUUGUGACUGCAUGGCUAGAGUUUGGCAGAGGGGGGUAGAAUUCCACGUGUAGCAGUGAAAUGCGUAGAUAUGUGGAGGAACACCGAUGGCGAAGGCAGCCCCCCUGGGUCAAGACUGACGCUCAUGCACGAAAGCGUGGGGAGCGAUCCGG